rnacentral:rRNA from 1 species
UACGAACUGUGCAAACGUUAUUCGGAAUCACUGGGCUUACAGGGUGCGUAGGCGGCUUGUUAAGUAGGGUGUGAAAGCCCCCGGCUCAACCGGGGAAUGGCGCCCUAAACUGGCGAGCUAGAGUGAGAUAGGGGUGUGUGGAACUUCCGGUGGAGCGGUGAAAUGUGUUGAUAUCGGAAGGAACGCCGGUGGCGAAAGCGACGUGCUGGACCUCUUCUGACGCUGAUGCGCGAAAGCCAGGGGAGCAAACGGG